UCGUGUCGUGAGAUGUUGGGUUAAGUCCCGCAACGAGCGCAACCCUCACCCCUUGUUGCCAUCAGGUGAUGCUGGGCACUCUAGGGGAACUGCCCCGGUCAACGGGGAGGAAGGUGGGGAUGACGUCAAGUCAUCAUGCCCCUUACGCCCUGGGCUACACACGUGCUACAAUGGCCGGUACAAAGGGAUGCAAUACCGCGAGGUGGAGCUAAACCCAAAAAGCCGGUCUAAGUUCAGAUUGGAGUCUGCAACUCGACUCCAUGAAGGAGGAAUCGCUAGUAAUCGC
rnacentral:rRNA from 1 species